UACAGAGGGUGCAAGCGUUAAUCGGAAUUACUGGGCGUAAAGCGCGCGUAGGUGGUUAUGUAAGUUGGAUGUGAAAGCCCCGGGCUUAACCUGGGAAUGGCAUUCAAAACUGCAGGGCUAGAGUACGGGAGAGGGGGGUAGAAUUCCAGGUGUAGCGGUGAAAUGCGUAGAGAUCUGGAGGAAUACCGGUGGCGAAGGCAGCCCCCUGGCCUGGAUACUGACACUGAGGUGCGAAAGCGAUGGGG
rnacentral:rRNA from 1 species